GCAACUCAAACGCUUUUCGCCGUCGCCGGUCGCUGAUUACGAGCUGCGCGAUUUGCGGCUUCAAAAUAUUCUCCAAAAGCCGGUUGUUUCGCGACAUCAACCCGAACAGUGACUGUAACUCAACCAUAAUAGUGCCUUCGGUCGUUUUGCGUGAAAAUCUUGGUCAGCAGGGAAAACCGAUUUUCCAUUCGAACUGUGACGUUUAGCGUCAAAUUGAUUGGGGGCAUUGACUAGACGUGCGAACUCCAUGUUGUUUUGAAUUAUGCAGUCUUCUUUGGCUGAGCCGGUACAAAGAAUUUAUGAUAAAACAGAGACAAGUACUGGUCUCUGGAUAAAAUCGUGCGUCAAUCUGCGUGACGUCUUUCAAUUCUCUUGCAUGGUUGCCAAGCCUGAUGCAAGCAAGCUGCGCUUUCAAUUUGGGCGUGUCAGGCAGCGGUGUUGCUUUGCAGCUCAAUACCGCCGUCAAAGCAAACACACCUCUGAAGACGGUAGUCACGCCUGCCAGCGAAACGUUGCGAUCAAUUUCCUAUCCACGACGUCCUGAGAACCACUCCGAUAUGCAUAUUUGAGGCGUUCGAGUCUUUAGCAAGGAAAAUAUCGUCGGAUAAAAAUCGUUACCGCUUAAAAAUGGCUUAUGAUGAACCGAAAGUGUCGAUUUUUUCGGACCUGAAAGUGUUAGGCUUAUUUUUCAAUAAACUCGUUGCAUUC